rnacentral:lncRNA from 1 species
UAGCGGCUCAAUAUUUGCCAAGGAAAAAAAUCUUCAUUGCCAAGGGUGCCAAGGAGCUCUGAGCUUUCAAAACAGAAGCUGAGGAGAGGAGAAAAAAACCCAUCAAUCAAUGGUACUCACAACGGGAAGAAGACAGAGUAAGAAUGCUAGCAUUGCAUAUAUCUGUCAACUUUACGUGUGUGUGUUUUAAUUACUCUACUAAUUAGUAGUCAGACUAAAAUUAGAGGCUUUUUUUGUAGCUUCCCAUCUCUUUCCCAUGCAUUUUAAUUGAAUGCUGCCACUGUCAGCUGUCACCCAUGGAGAUGAAUGGAGGCCCUGAUUCCUGCAGCAUUCACACAAGAUCAGGAUGUCAGAGUUCCAGAAAGAGAACAAAAGCAAGAUAAUAUAUGUUUAAGAAGUAAUGAAAAGAGGAAGCUGAGUUUUGGAAUGACUCUUCAGAGCCCAGUUCAUCUCCUUCCUAAUAUGUGAAUCCUAUCUAUGUAUGACAUUGCUUAAAAAAAAAAAGUAUGAAUCUUCCAAGCAGUCCAAAGGUUAUAUGAAAGGAAUUGCAUUGCCAUGAAGGUUAAUUUAAGACAAGGUAGUUCAUUAGGUGUUUUUGAGGGCAUAUUUCUUCUAUUUCCUUCAUCUCUCAUCUUAUUGCCAGGUUACUAUUAUAGGCUGCCUCAUUUUCAAAGAUGGUUUAGUGUGAUAUAAUGCUUGACUGAAAAUAAGGUUCAAAGUUCAAAUUCUGAUUAUAUAUUGAAGGAUGUUAGAGAACUGGGGAGGAGGGAGAGAAGUGACAGAGACAGAGAGACAAGCACAGAUAACAUGAGACAGAGAGAUAGAAAAAGGAAAAGAGAAACAAUGAGAGACAAGGACCAAAGACAGACAGGGUUAGAGGGAGAAAAGGAGGUAGGGAGAAAAGGGAUAAUGAACAGGAGAGAGAUCUGAGAGGAGGAAGAGGGAGGCAAUGAAAGAGGAGGAGGAGAAAGAGAGGAGGCAGAGUGAGUAGGUGGGGAGCUCCCUCCCCCAUGCCUUAUCAAAAAGAAAAAACAAAAGUCUCAUUCUUGGUGACUCAGAAACAUUAGUAUAAACCUCCAUUUUUGUUGGUAAUAAAACAGCAGAAUUUUUUUAUCA